UCCAUAGAAGUUGCCUUGGGUAUAACGGU
rnacentral:piRNA from 1 species